rnacentral:rRNA from 1 species
UACAGAGGGGGCAAGCGUUGUUCGGAAUUACUGGGCGUAAAGGGCGCGUAGGCGGCGCAACAAGUCACUUGUGAAAUCUCCGGGCUUAACCCGGAAAGGUCAAUCGAUACUGCGGGGCUAGAGUGCAGAAGGGGCAACUGGAAUUCUCGGUGUAGCGGUGAAAUGCGUAGAUAUCGAGAGGAACACCUGCGGCGAAGGCGGGUUGCUGGGCCGACACUGACGCUGAGGCGCGAAAGCCAGGGGAGCGAACGGG